UUACGGCCAUAUCACGUUGAAACACCGGCUCCCGUACGAUCACCGAAGUAAAGCAACGUCGAGCCAGGUCACUACAUAGAUGUGGGACCUCAUGAGAAUACCAGGUGCCGUAAG